CCAAAGUUCCAAGAGUUGACGGUGUGGUACAUAAGGAACGAUGAAAAGCAGAAUAUGAGCAUGCCAUGCUCCACGUUUUUGCUUUUCUAAUACUGUUAAAUAUUUUAAUUUACUUUUCUUGGUAUUAAAGAUGUGGUAGUUAAAGCGUUUUAUAAAAGUUUUUAGUAAGUCUUUGAAGUGGUUUCUGUCGCUAAUAUUUUCUUUAGUGGUCAGGGUUAGAAAUGAAGUAUUAUCAUUAUAAUUACAAUCAACUAAUCGAAGUAAGUUCCACUUUGCUUCUAAGCGAGUUUUUUUCAUACGCUCCAGACGUUGUUCUUGUUCUUCAGGUGUAAGUUCAUCAAAUGUUCUACGUUGUGAUUUUUCCUUGCUUUUAGUAUCAGUAUCUAAAAUGGAUUUUCCUUUUGAAAAUAUUGGCUUUUCAUAUUCCCAAAUUUCAAUAUAGGAAGAAGUGCGGACUAUUUUUUUAUUAUACGAGGUCAUAAAAAAUAGUUCCUUUUAGGUUGGCUUUCGCCAAAAGAUUGUCUAUAUAAUAAAUAAACUAGGAGAAGCAAAGCUCCUCCAUACUUCUAUCAUGUGUUUCUAAGCAUCGCUCUGCUAAACACGCUUCCAGCUUGCCGACUUCCAGUCGGCAGUUUCGCUUAGUCACAUGAUGAGAAGUAGUAGUUAAAUUUGAGGUUUAGGUAAUUGUUUUAAUGUUUGGUCUGUAGCCCAGUCAGUUGAAAAGAUUUCAAGAUGUCCUUGGUCAUAAACGAGCAAAUCUCCGUUACCAAUAAAUUGAUAUUUAUUAUCUUUGUCAAUAUAUAAUGAAAAAGUAUCUAUACCAAUAACAUUUUUAGAAAUAUCGAUAGAUUCUUUAGGGGUAUGUCCAACAAUUUGUUUAGGGUAGUUGUGAUUAGGGAUUAGCUCUAGUUCUCUAAAAUGAGCCCAUAAAGGAGAACCAGCCAUAUCUCCUCCUCCACGCAUAUAUCCUACUGCAUUAGCAAGGAUUUCUAAUUCUUCUUCAUAUUCUUCAGUAAAAGGUUUAAAGUGCCAUUCUUUUGGGUCAAAUAGCAAAUUGAAACCAGCAUGGCUAACUAAAUAAUCAUCUAGUUGAUAAGCUACUUGUAAAUUCAAAUCUUGUAAUAAUUGUUGAACUGAGAAAAAGACCUCUAGAUUUUGAAUUGAGAAAGGAACUUGUUCUCCAAGUAAAUAAUAAACAUCGUGAUUGCCCAUAAGGUUAAUAACUUCUAUUGAAUUUAAUUCUUUUUCUAUUUUCCAAUCGUAUAGAAAAGUGAGGUCUUUGGCAUAUAGUUGGAUAUUGUUAGUUUGUCCAUGUAAAUCAACAUAAUCACCAAGAAAAAUGAUUCUCUUAAUAUUAUGUGUUUGGAUAAUUUUGUCAACAAUGGGUAAAAUCAGUUGAGAUUUUAAGUGUAAAUCACCAAUUAAUAACGUCUUCAUAUAUAUUCCCCUCUUUAUUUUUGAUAUUAGUCUAAGAAUCGAAUUAAGUUAUAGCACAUUGUUUCGGUGAUAGAUAAAUAGAAUUAAUUAUUCUUAAGAUGUUAUUUAAUAAUUUCCAUGAAUAUCAGACAUAGAGUAAUAUAUAGCUAUAAUAUCCUCUAAUUGUCUAUCGAGCAUUUAAGGCAUAGAUAUAAGCUACAUAGCAAGCAAAGUCGCCAAUACGUUUUCUGUCAUCGUUAAAUUGUUCAAACCAAGCAACAUCAUUGCCCUGUUCACUUGCUAAACCUUUUAAAAUCUUUAGUUGAUAAAUAACUUUAUUGUGAGUAACAGUUCUAGAUUCAUCAUUGGCAAGUUUCUCUUCUCUUGAGAGUGUGAGCCAUUUACCACGUGCAGAGGCAUACUCUACGCAUAGAAGUACAAAUGUUGUCCAUUCUUCUUGAAAUUCUUUAUCAAGUUGAUUGGAGGAAUUAAGGAGACUAGAAUAGAUUUGUUCUGCUUCAGAAAAUGAAACAAUCCCCUUUUCAUUCUUAAAAUCAUCGUAGUUAAAAGUUUGCAUUGUAAAACUCCUUUAUAUAUUAUCUAAUCUUAGCUAUUUUGUUACAGGUAAAACAUCAGAACAAGCGAACCACAAAUUUCCAUUGAAUUGCCCUACGUUUAAAUCUUUAAGACUAACAGGACAAGUUUUGUUGUUCGCCAUCUCUUGAACAGAAGCAGUAGGCGAUAAUGUAUUUAUUUUGACUUGUAUCAUCUCCAUAAAGAAAUCAGAAUUCUCAUCUUGAAUUGACACAUUAAGUCGUAAAGCUACGGGCUUAUUAGUCUCUCUAUCUAAUACUUCUGUAUACCCUUUCACGGCAAAGAAGCGAUUGCCUAGUAGCUCAGGUUUUAAAAAAUCAUUUAAUUUCAUGAUAAAUUCCUUUCUUUCUUACCUCCUGCAAUGCAGUCGGUUGGCUCUUUUUCUCUGUUGAAAAGAAUUCCUAUUCCAACAGAGAAAAAUACCGUUAUUAGUAGUUUGGCAGUAUAUUUCUAACUACCUGUAAAAAUUCUUGUUUAGUUUUUAAAUCAACAAAUGGCACAAUUGUUAGCACUGGCUCUACUGUAUUAAGCCCAUCAGCAUAAAAGAGAGCCUCCCCUUUUCUAUCUGAAACUGUAGGAACGUUUUCUAAUUCGCACAUGCUAAAAGCCAUCUUCAAUCUAUCAGCCCCUGGGCCUCCAAGGUAUAAAACUGCCGAUAUUUGGGAGCGCAAUUCGACUGGAAUAUUCUCAGCAUUAGGGUCUUGGGUACUAAGGCAGAGGUGACAACCUGCCUGCCGCCCUUUACGUGCAAUCAAGCCUAAGUUUUGCAAAAUUUCAUUCCAUAGUUCUUUACCCCCCUGUUUGCUAGAACCACAGCUAUCGCGGAUGGAAGCAAGUUCAUCUACAAAUAGAAAAUUUGGUGUCAUCCCUAAAUCAUAAGCAUCAGCAUUUAAUGAACUAUUCUGUUUGAUAAUUUNGAGCCCGUUAAUGGGUGAGAGCGUGCCUUUUGUAGAAUGAACCGGCGAGUUACGUUAUGAUGCGAGGUUAAGUUGAAGAGACGGAGCCGUAGGGAAACCGAGUCUGAAUAGGGCGCCUUAGUAUCAUGACGUAGACCCGAAACCAUGUGACCUACCCAUGAGCAGGUUGAAGGUGCGGUAAGACGCACUGGAGGACCGAACCAGGGCACGUUGAAAAGUGCUUGGAUGACUUGUGGGUAGCGGAGAAAUUCCAAACGAACUUGGAGAUAGCUGGUUCUCUCCGAAAUAGCUUUAGGGCUAGCGUCGACAUUAGAGAUUCUUGGAGGUAGAGCACUGUUUGGGUGAGGGGUCCAUCCCGGAUUACCAAUCUCAGAUAAACUCCGAAUGCCAAUGAAUUAUGGUCGGCAGUCAGACUGCGAGUGCUAAGAUCCGUAGUCGAAAGGGAAACAGCCCAGACCACCAGCUAAGGUCCCAAAAUAAUUGUUAAGUGGAAAAGGAUGUGGGGUUGCACAGACAACUAGGAUGUUAGCUUAGAAGCAGCUAUUCAUUCAAAGAGUGCGUAAUAGCUCACUAGUCGAGUGACCCUGCGCCGAAAAUGUACCGGGGCUAAAACAAUUUACCGAAGCUGUGGAUACCUUUAUAGGUAUGGUAGGAGAGCGUUCUAUGUGUGAUGAAGGUAUACCGUGAGGAGUGCUGGAACGCAUAGAAGUGAGAAUGCCGGUAUGAGUAGCGAAAGACAGGUGAGAAUCCUGUCCACCGUAAGACUAAGGUUUCCAGGGGAAGGCUCGUCCGCCCUGGGUUAGUCGGGACCUAAGGAGAGACCGAAAGGUGUAUCCGAUGGACAACAGGUUGAUAUUCCUGUACUAGAGUAUGUAGUGAUGGAGGGACGCAGUAGGCUAACUAAAGCAGACGAUUGGAAGAGUCUGUCUAAGCAGUGAGGUGUGAAUUGAGUCAAAUGCUUAAUUCUAUAACAUUGAGCUGUGAUGGGGAGCGAAGUUUAGUAGCGAAGUUAGUGACGUCACACUGCCAAGAAAAGCUUCUAGCGUUUAAACAUACUCUACCCGUACCGCAAACCGACACAGGUAGUCGAGGCGAGUAGCCUCAGGUGAGCGAGAGAACUCUCGUUAAGGAACUCGGCAAAAUGACCCCGUAACUUCGGGAGAAGGGGUGCUGACUUAAAGUCAGCCGCAGUGAAUAGGCCCAAGCAACUGUUUAUCAAAAACACAGCUCUCUGCUAAAUCGUAAGAUGAUGUAUAGGGGGUGACGCCUGCCCGGUGCUGGAAGGUUAAGAGGAGUGCUUAGCGUAAGCGAAGGUAUGAAUUGAAGCCCCAGUAAACGGCGGCCGUAACUAUAACGGUCCUAAGGUAGCGAAAUUCCUUGUCGGGUAAGUUCCGACCCGCACGAAAGGCGUAAUGAUUUGGGCACUGUCUCAACGAGAGACUCGGUGAAAUUUUAGUACCUGUGAAGAUGCAGGUUACCCGCGACAGGACGGAAAGACCCCAUGGAGCUUUACUGCAGUUUGAUAUUGAGUGUCUGUACCACAUGUACAGGAUAGGUAGGAGUCUAAGAGAUCGGGACGCCAGUUUCGAAGGAGACGCUGUUGGGAUACUACCCUUGUGUUAUGGCCACUCUAACCCAGAUAGGUGAUCCCUAUCGGAGACAGUGUCUGACGGGCAGUUUGACUGGGGCGGUCGCCUCCUAAAAGGUAACGGAGGCGCCCAAAGGUUCCCUCAGAAUGGUUGGAAAUCAUUCGCAGAGUGUAAAGGUAUAAGGGAGCUUGACUGCGAGAGCUACAACUCGAGCAGGGACGAAAGUCGGGCUUAGUGAUCCGGUGGUUCCGUAUGGAAGGGCCAUCGCUCAACGGAUAAAAGCUACCCUGGGGAUAACAGGCUUAUCUCCCCCAAGAGUUCACAUCGACGGGGAGGUUUGGCACCUCGAUGUCGGCUCGUCGCAUCCUGGGGCUGUAGUCGGUCCCAAGGGUUGGGCUGUUCGCCCAUUAAAGCGGCACGCGAGCUGGGUUCAGAACGUCGUGAGACAGUUCGGUCCCUAUCCGUCGCGGGCGUAGGAAAUUUGAGAGGAUCUGCUCCUAGUACGAGAGGACCAGAGUGGACUUACCGCUGGUGUACCAGUUGUCUUGCCAAAGGCAUCGCUGGGUAGCUAUGUAGGGAAGGGAUAAACGCUGAAAGCAUCUAAGUGUGAAACCCACCUCAAGAUGAGAUUUCCCAUGAUUAUAUAUCAGUAAGAGCCCUGAGAGAUGAUCAGGUAGAUAGGUUAGAAGUGGAAGUGUGGCGACACAUGUAGCGGACUAAUACUAAUAGCUCGAGGACUUAUCCAA
rnacentral:rRNA from 1 species